GACGAACGCUGGCGGCGUGCUUAACACAUGCAAGUCGAACGGAAAGGCCCUGCUUUUGUGGGGUGCUCGAGUGGCGAACGGGUGAGUAACACGUGAGUAACCUGCCCUUGACUUUGGGAUAACUUCAGGAAACUGGGGCUAAUACCGGAUAGGAGCUCCUGCUGCAUGGUGGGGGUUGGAAAGUUUCGGCGGUUGGGGGUGGACUCGCGGCUUAUCAGCUUGUUGGUGGGGUAGUGGCUUACCAAGGCUUUGACGGGUAGCCGGCCUGGGAGGGUGACCGGCCACAUUGGGACUGAGAUACGGCCCAGACUCCUACGGGAGGCAGAAGUGGGGAAUAUUGCACAAUGGGCGGAAGCCUGAUGCAGCAACGCCGCGUGCGGGAUGACGGCCUUCGGGUUGUAAACCGCUUUCGCCUGUGACGAAGCGUGAGUGACGGUAAUGGGUAAAGAAGCACCGGCUAACUACGUG
rnacentral:rRNA from 1 species